rnacentral:rRNA from 1 species
AACGUAGGUGGCAAGCGUUAUCCGGAUUUACUGGGCGUAAAGGGUGUGCAGGCGGGGUAGCAAGUGGUGUAUGAAAUCUCCAGGCUUAACCUGGAGGGGUUAUGCCAGACUGCUGCUCUAGAGGACGAGAGAGGGGGGUGGAAUUCCGGGUGGUAGUGGUGGAAAUGCGUAGAGAUCCGGAGGAACCCCAGAGGCGAAGGCGGCCCCCUGGCUCGUACCUGACGCUCAGCCACGAAAGCAUGGGGAGCGAACGGG